rnacentral:lncRNA from 1 species
GCGAAUAUGUAUCGCGAUGGCCAUCUCCGGAGUGCCGGCUUGUAGGGAGCGACCCUCACAAGCAUGUGCGAAUGAGCACAAUGGCAAGUAACCAAAAGAUCCGUCUCAAGUACCAAGUCCUCAUGUCUAACAAUAUGAAAUACGUCACAUCUCUCAUAGGCCUAUCUCUAUGUCAUCAUGUCUCUAACAUGGAAUAUAAAAGAUGUCAAUGGCCUAUCACUAAGUCUCAGAUAACAGUUUCAUAGUUUGCUAGUCCAAGUGCCCCUUUAU